rnacentral:rRNA from 1 species
AACGAACGCUGGCGGCAGGCUUAACACAUGCAAGUCGAACGCCCCGCAAGGGGAGUGGCAGACGGGUGAGUAACGCGUGGGAACAUACCCUUUCCUGCGGAAUAGCUCCGGGAAACUGGAAUUAAUACCGCAUACGCCCUAAGGGGGAAAGACUUAUCGGGGAAGGAUUGGCCCGCGUUGGAUUAGCUAGUUGGUGGGGUAAAGGCCUACCAAGGCGACGAUCCAUAGCUGGUCUGAGAGGAUGAUCAGCCACAUUGGGACUGAGACACGGCCCAAACUCCUACGGGAGGCAGCAGUGGGGAAUAUUGGACAAUGGGCGCAAGCCUGAUCCAGCCAUGCCACGUGAGUGAUGAAGGCCUUAGGGUUGUAAAGCUCUUUCACCGGAGAAGAUAAUGACGGUAUCCGGAGAAGAAGCCCCGGCUAACUUCGUGCCAGCAGCCGCCGCCGUAA